AAGUCGUAACAAGGUUUCCGUAGGUGAACCUGCGGAAGGAUCAUUAACACGUAUCCAAACGUUAAACAACCCCGUGAACAUACAACCUGCUCUGGUCGCCCGCUCGCAUGGACAAGCCCAGUAAAUCAAGCCCCGGAAGGAGCGGUGUUAGCUCAGUAUACACGGAAGCCGGUCGGUGGUCGACCUCUAGCAAUCUUGAAGAGUCGUCCUUGACGCUCCAGCGACACUUUCAUUCACUGGUCACUUGGGGACGCCGUGUCACUUGACCUACCGCUUCUAUGAAUCGCUGUCAGUUUUUCUCACGCGCACAGAGGUCCCAAAUCAAAAACUUUCUUCCGAACCCCACUUUAUUGCCUUGCCUGUAAGCAUCCAUACGGAUGGGCAGGCCCCCCGAACAACUGUUAACAAUGGAUAUCUUGGUUCUC
rnacentral:misc_RNA from 1 species